GUCGGGAUAGCUCAGUUAGGUAGAGCAGAGGACUGAAAAUCCUCGUGUCACCGGUUCAAAUCUGGUUCCUGACA
rnacentral:tRNA from 1 species